CUACGGGCUGCUCCAGUGGGGAAUAUUGCACAAUGGGGGAAACCCUGAUGCAGCAACGCCGCGUGGAGGAUGACGCAUUUCGGUGUGUAAACUCCUUUUAUAUCCCAAGAUAAUGACGGUAGGAUAUGAAUAAGCACCGGCUAACUCCGUGCCAGCAGCCGCGGUAAUACGGAGGGUGCAAGCGUUACUCGGAAUCACUGGGCGUAAAGGGCGCGUAGGCGGGUUGUCAAGUCUUGAGUGAAAUCCAACGGCUCAACCGUUGAACUGCUUGAGAAACUGGCAGCCUAGAGUAAGGGAGAGGUAGAUGGAAUUGGUGGUGUAGGGGUAAAAUCCGUAGAGAUCACCAGGAAUACCCAUUGCGAAGGCGAUCUGCUGGAACUUUACUGACGCUGAGGCGCGAAAGCGUGGGGAGCAAACAGGAUUAGAUACCCGGGUAGUC
rnacentral:rRNA from 1 species